rnacentral:rRNA from 1 species
UGGGGAAUUUUGGACAAUGGGGGAAACCCUGAUCCAGCCAUCCCGCGUGUGCGAUGAAGGCCUUCGGGUUGUAAAGCACUUUUGGCAGGAAAGAAACGUCAUGGGUUAAUACCCCGUGAAACUGACGGUACCUGCAGAAUAAGCACCGGCUAACUACGUGCCAGCAGCCGCGGUAAUACGUAGGGUGCAAGCGUUAAUCGGAAUUACUGGCGUAAAGCGUGUGCAGGCGGUUCGGAAAGAAAGAUGUGAAAUCCCAGAGCUCAACUUUGGAACUGCAUUUUUAACUACCGGGCUAGAGUGUGUCAGAGGGAGGUGGAAUUCCGCGUGUAGCAGUGAAAUGCGUAGAUAUGCGGAGGAACACCGAUGGCGAAGGCAGCCUCCUGGGAUAACACUGACGCUCAUGCACGAAAGCGUGGGGAGCAAACAGG